ensembl:snoRNA
CUGGUUCCAUGAUGAAUAAAACAAAAUCACCAUCUUUCGGCUGACAGUUGUGAUGAUUUGUUUUUUUUUCCUGAGUAGAUG